AGGGUAUAAAAGGUUAUAUUGGAAACUAAAGUGCUGAUGCUUGAAGCCGUCUUUGGUAAUAAAGGACUGAUGCAGAUCCUUCAAGCUGACAAAAUUUGUGACUUCCACAUCUAGAAACGACAAGGAUUUUUGCAAUGCUUCAAUUGAAAGCAAAGUUUCUCCUUGAGCAAAGUGCCAUCUUAAACAGGAACCUGGAGGAUGGCAGCAUGUUGGCAGUGAAUGCAUAGAUGAAGCAUUUGCUAGAAGCUAAGAGACCAGGAAAUUAUAAUUUUCUUCAUGCUUUGAAUAAUGAAUGCUUGAAGCUUUAAAUGCGGUGUGUUUUCCUUGUGUUUUGAGAGAUGGGGUCAGGGAAUACCCACUUGUCCUCUCUUUGAGUGAUGAAAAGGACUGUAACUCAAGACCCUGUCUUUUUUUAGACCAUGAGUACCUAUAGCACGGGUUACAAGAUUAAUACAUGAAUAUGAAGUAUUCUUAGUGUUAAAAGAAGCAAAGGGUCUUACACAUUUUGCUACAUGUACUCUGUGCUUUGCACAGCUGGUGGUGUCAAAGAUCAUCAUGAUAUGUAGAACUUCUCAGUGGUUCAGACAGCAUCUCCAAGACUUUUGCCUAACUAAGAGUGAGAGCAGAGUAUUUUAGACUAAAAAUAAAUGACACCUGGGGUCAUCAAGUUCAAACUUCUGCAAAUGGAGACAAUGCUGAGUUGUUUUUGUUUAAUUCAAGUCAGUGCUGUUCAAGUUCAAAACAGUUUUGAGCUCUAUGUUUAACUACAAAGACUGCGUAAAAAAGACCAAAGCCUGAAGUUAGCUCCUUCAUUGCAUUUCUGUGCAAGCCUCUGAAAACAAGGCAUGUAUUACUACUUUAUUGCUAGACUUGGACUGCUUAGGUUUCUAAGGAAUACUUCAUAGGUGGACGUUGUAGUGAAAAGGAAAACACUACAUGUAGACUACAAAGAGUAAAGACAAAUGAGGUUCUUCACACUUUGAAAAGUGUCACUAUGAAUACUUAAACUAAGGAGUAAAAUGCUGCACUUUUAUCCUGGCUGUUUAAUAUGUUCCAGAAUGUUUAAGGUAGAUUUGACUCCCAAAAAUAUACUGGCAGAGUGACACAUUGUAUAGAACACAAACACAGAAAAAUAAAGCAACCCAUAAAAACUUUCUUUAGAUUGACUUCUAUUUUGGCUGACUCUUUAUAAUGCUGGAAGACUCUGAAUGCUGAAAGUCUAUGCCAAUACUAGUGAAGAUCCACUUAUGCAGAGGUUUCAGGACACCCAGCCAUGAGGCAAGGGGUCCUCUAUCAGACUCAGGUGGUUUGGUGCUGUGCUGGCUCAGCAAAUGAUGGGGCAAUGCUUCUUUGGUCCUCACAAAAACCUACAUUUCUCUCUUGCCUGGCUUUGCUGUCACUGACGUGUCUCUGCACCCUGCCAGUAAUGAUGCCAAGCAUUAUGACAGAGAAGAGGGGAAGGACAGGCAUCUCCUUCCUAGAGAGCUUUGGCAGUGACGUGCUGGCACUGGAUCAGCAAAUGCAUUCCAGGCUCCUGCUACUGAGCUGGUCAGCUUUUACAAGUAGACAAUUUCCUGCCAGACAAGAGUUUCGCCAAAUUUAGGCAUCUUAGCCUGUUAUGCAACAGCCCCAACUAAAUUACUAUAAUCUCAGUAAUGUAAUAGCCACUUGGCAUUUUAAGCCAGUGGUUCCAGCACUUACCAACUAACACAACUAAGCACACCAGAUCUCUCUUCUCUAUGUGAUAAUUUGUCAUUUAACCUCAGGCUGGCUUUUCAGAGCUCUUCAAGGUCAUGCUUUGUUCACACCCCUGAGACUCUCCUUUACUCUGGCAUCUAUGAAGCAUUUGUUGGUGGAAAAACAUUCCCCAUGUUAAAAUAAUGCUGCUCAUCUUAGUGUAUAAUAUAGUUCUUUGUUUUCCUUUUACUAAUCUGCCAGUUCUAGACUGUAGACUCUCUGGAGCAGGAACCAUUCUUUUAUAAAAGUUCUGACUUUCAAAAUUGGACCACCCUGUUGUAAAAGACCUGGUCUGAAAGCUACUAUGGCAUCAGCCAUUUGGAUACAGCAAUAUUAAAAAUUAAUAGAAAAUUAAAUUUUUUUAUAAGUCAAUGUAUGUUCUAGACUUCCACUAGGAAUGAUCUGGCCAUGAAGAACAGCUGUACACAGCUGUUGUCUUCUAAGAUAUAGAGAUCAUAUCAUACAUCAAUAACUUUCUCCCUUUCAAUUUGCAUUUUUUCACCUGAAAUUUACAUUUGUUCUAGCCUUUUUUCUGAGUUUGGUAAAAUAUCUGAGCUUGAAACUGUCUAAUCUAGAUAACAAGACUUAGAGGCAAGCAUCUCUGACACCAGGAAAAAAGAGAUGCUGAACAUCCAAUGGUGGACACACAACCUUCCAACUGGUUUUCCCCAAGUUACUGGACAUUAUAUUUGUGAUCUCCAGAGGCAAAAGAACAAAGGUCGUAUUUAGAAUUUGACUUUACAUUGUUCUUCAAUCAUCAGAGCAUUAAAGAAAUAUCACUUAACGUUGACCUUCUCAACAAGGGAAAAUUCUGCUUGUCUGUGGAGAAUGUGAGUCAGGAGCAAUUCUGUUGAAGCUUGUGGAGCUCCACCAUUAUUAAAAUUGUGUUACUGAAAGGAAAACUAGAACCAGAAAUUGGAGAGUUUUGCUCAUGAUAACUAAAGCUUUGUCUAGACUGGGGAUUUGCCCUGAUUACUGCCACUGGCUAGCAGCCACUGGUGUUUCUGCACCACUGUGAGUCCUUGCAUUGGCAGGUCAUGGUGCUAAUGGUGGUGGUAGAGGUUUGUCAGUUUAGGCAUGGAUAAUAUUCUCUGCUGGAUGUGUUGGCUUUCUCCAUUUACACCAUGUGAGAUCUGUUACUGUUUAGUUGACUGUGACUGGAACCUGGCAAGUAUAUAGGGCCCAUGGAUACAGAGACAGGAAAAAUGUUAAAUUCCCUCAAACUUUUCCAGAAAUUCUCAAAGCCCUUCUGAAUUAGCGUUGCUGACACUUAUGUGUCAAUAGAGAACACAUGAAGGUGUUACUGGGGACAGAAAGUGAAUAUUAACAUACGAAAAGGUUAGUUCUGUUAUUUGAGAGUGCUGUAGAAGAAGAAAUUUAGAAAUGCCAAGUUUAUCAGUCCAUCUAGCCCUGAUCCCAAUAAUUUAUUAAGUCAUCUUGCUGUAUAGUUUGCAAUGCUUUGUCUAGUCUAGUUCUCAAUGACUCAACUUAUGGAGUCUGCACCACUUCUCCAGGGAGAGAGUUUUCCACAGUUUGAACUGCUAUGAUAUUUUUGCUGAUAUCUAGCCUACCAUUUCAUUUCAUCCCAUUAUUCUUAGUCUCCUCCUUCCUCUCAAGUGCACCCAAACAAUCCUCUUUUUUGGUUUUAACACCUGUUGAAGUCUCAUAGACAUUUCCUGUUAGCUGUUCCACAUCUAUAUCUUCUCAUAUUUACUGUGAAAUAUUCUGGACUGUAUAAAGAAGGAGCACAUCAUGUAUAAAACAAGCAGGGUCACUUUUCUGCUCCACUUGGCACUGGUGAAAGUCUCAGCUGGCAUAGUGAAUUCAGUUUUGGAUGCUGCUCUUUAAGAAAAGACACUAACAAAUUGAAGAAACCUCAAAGGACAAUAACAAAAAUUAUAAAAUAUUUAAAAUUCAGAUGUAUGAGAAGCAGCUGAGACAGGCAUGUUCAGUCUACAAAGACUAAAGGAAGGCAAAAUAGCUGUCUACAAAUACAUGAAAUGAUGUGAUAAAGAGAACAGGGGCCAGUUAUUCUCAUUAGCCAGAGAGAAAAGGAGUGCAGAAACUGAUUUAAGCUGCAGAAAGGAAAAUUCCAGCUACAUAUGUGAGUGAUGUGUUUCAGCUACUCAAACAAUUAGGCAAUGGAACAAGCUGCUGUGAAAGGUUACAGAGUUAAAAUGGCCACAGAGAUUCCAGGCUAGACUCAACUGCUGGUCUAAUGCAAAAAAGACUCCCACCCUGAUUUUGGAAAGUUAACCAGAUGGGCUGCUGAUGGCAGAGUCUCACAAGUGAAUAGGAUUCCAUAUUAGGGAUACCAUGUGCCCUAAUACUAGGCCCCUAAAGGGACAGAUAAGUGCUGAAAAUCUGCCCAUCUUCCCAGCUUUUUAUCUUACUACAAAGUAGAGGAAGGAAGAGAAACUGGACUGUGUAGAGACAUUGGAAAGACGGGAGAUGGAGGUUAUGACUAACCUGGGUGCAAACAGGUGCUUCAUGCACAGACAUGUGGCAGCUUCAUUUCAAAGGCAGAGUGACUGAACGGGCAUCCUGUGUCAGCUGAGUGAACAAGCCCAGCUGAGAGGUGCAGGAAGAGUCCAGGACAUGGCAGAUCAAGUGUGGGUAUGAAUUUUUACAGGUCAGCUUAUCCCACUGGACUUGCCUGAAGUCACUGAUGAGGAACUGGAUCCAGAUGUCUGUAGUCUCAGGCCAGCACUUUGACCACAAACCCAUUUCUCCUCUUUGUAGCACUGUUUUCUCACCAUCUCCUUCUGAACUGAGUAGCCAUCUGAUCCUGCCAGGCUCAUGCAUCUUGAAUUCCUGCAAACUUGUGAGGAAUUUUCUGAGCACUAAAAAAAGCCAAGUCAAACCAAACCAAACCAAACUAAACCAAACCAAACCACCAACAAAAGGAGACAGUAAUGAAGAGGAAGCUGAUUUUUUGUCCUGAUGUUCUCUACCAGGUCCAAGAGCAGGCUUGUUGAGGCAGUGCCUUGUGUUCAGCUUCCAUCCAGCCUGGAUGCAGAAUUGCAAUCCAAGCCACCCUGUGGGCACACUGUGAGGGGGAACAUCAUGUCAGUGCUACAGACAAAGGAGCAAGGCAGGUCUACAACCUUUUUGUGUGAUUCUUAAGUGGGGAAGUGCACAUUCUGUGCAGGUUUCCUGGCACCAGAGCAAAGUGUAGUCUCCUGAAAAUCUGCACAUGGAAUUCUGCAGUUCUUGGUGGAGUGGGACAAUUUAGUCCCCUGUUUGUGGGACUGUCACAGGCACAGUUGGACCUUAGACUGAAAGUAAAUUCCAGUAAUACAUUCAAGGGUGAAAUGGACCAUUAGGAGCACUUUACUAGACAGAUGUGGAUAACAAUAAUUCACCUUAAGGCACGAUUUCCAGUCUUGUUUGUGGGACUCAAAAGUAAGAAGAUACUGACCUCCACAUGGAAAGUUUUCAGAAUUCCUUGGGGAUCUCAGCUAUGUCAAGUCCCUGAGAAUAAGAAGUCACAUGGUAAAUAGUUAUCUACAAGAAGAAAAGUGGCAGAUGGUACAGCAGAUCUGCACAGGCUCCUCAGCCCUGAAAGCCCUUUGGAGUGACCGAGCUCUCACAACGUGCUCGUAGAGCCUGCAGCACUGCAAAGCCUGUACCUUCUUGUGACCUUUAUAUGCUGCAUGAAGGACAGGCUAACCAGCACAGAGUGAAAAACAAGAAUCACAAAUGGAAAUAAUUUUCUGAAAUUUGGUUUAUCGGUAGUAUGGCAAACAAAAAAAAUGGUUUAAGUCCAGACUUGUAAAAUAUACCAACUUUCCUGUCCUGUUGCUAAAUGAGAGAGUACGAACAAUAAAUGUCCCUCAGAGAUAGUGACUUAUACAUGCAGUAGCUUAAAAGAAAAGUAAGAAUCAUCCUAAUGUCUGUCUCUGUAACCCUUGCCACUGUAGUUUGGAAAUGUAAUAGAAUUAUUGCCUAUGAAAAACAUAUCUAUGUCUUUCCCCUUCAAAUAUACCCACAAUAUCUGCUUUUGAAGUUGUGCAGGAGUAUUGUCAAACUUGUGAUGAUGUGGUGCAAGCUUUAAUUGUGAGAUACAAUUCAUUAUUAAGACUUUAAAUACUUUUCUAUGCUGAUGUGUGAACCAAAGAAAAGUAUUGAGUUCCCUUUAAUAAAUAUAUUUUAGAAGCACUUUUGUUUAAAUUUUAAUUACAAAGGGAGAUAUUAUUCCUGUCUGCUGAAAGGCAUUUCAUUGUUUUUCUUUCCUUUUAAUUUUGAAACAUAAUUCUAAAGGUACACCUUCCCGGCAGAAUAGCUUGUCAUUUACAUGUGCAAAUCCCAGCUUUAGCUGCAGCAAGAAGAAACAAGUGAAAAAGCUGUAAAUGGAUCUCAUAUAUCAUGUAAUUUUUGGUGAGCAGUAUUUAAGUGUAUCAAGUUUGCUCUGAUCUCUUAACUAUGCUGACACCAGCAUUUCAACCAAUGCACCCAUGAAUCCAGAAGGAACACAAAUGUGAAUAUGCAGAGUUCAGAUUUUGUAUGAUAUUCUGGAGUAGGACAUCAGGGCCAAAGACAUUUCUGUAUGAGCUGGUUACAGACAAAAUGUAAGUAUUGUUCACAUGCUGGGUUAGUCUGAGAAUGGAGCUGAGCCACUUGUGUUUUAUCAU